CCCUUAGAUGUCCUGGGCCGCACGCGCGCUACACUGAGUGUCUGAGAUACGAGUCUGCCUGGUCCGGCAAGGUCUAGGUAAUCGCUAAAAGACACAUCAUGCUUGGGAUAGAUUAUUGCAAAUAUUAAUCUUGAACGAGGAAUUCCUAGUAAGCGCAAGUCAACAGCUUGCGUUGAUUACGUCCCUGCCCUUUGUACACACCGCCCGUCGCCACUACUGAUUGGAUGUUUAAGCGAGGUUCUCGAACUGCUAGCGACUUAGCUUCGGUGAGGUCGCAGUGUGGGAAGUGAACCUAGCUUUGGUGUCUAGAGGAAGUAAAAGUCGUAACA
rnacentral:rRNA from 1 species